GACGAACGCUGGCGGCGUGCUUAACACAUGCAAGUCGAACGGAAAGGCCCUUUCGGGGGUACUCGAGUGGCGAACGGGUGAGUAACACGUGGGUGAUCUGCCCUGCACUUUGGGAUAAGCUUGGAAAACUGGGUCUAAUACCGAAUACACCCUGCUGGUCGCAUGGCCUGGUGGGGGAAAGCUUUUGCGGUGUGGGAUGGGCCCGCGGCCUAUCAGCUUGUUGGUGGGGUGAUGGCCACCAAGGCGACGACGGGUAGCCGGCCUGAGAGGGUGUCCGGCCACACUGGGACUGAGAUACGGCCCAGACUCCUACGGGAGGCAGCAGUGGGGAAUAUUGCACAAUGGGCGCAAGCCUGAUGCAGCGACGCCGCGUGGGGAUGACGGCCU
rnacentral:rRNA from 1 species